CGUGAGUAACCUGCCUUGGAGUGGGGAAGUAACACAUCGAAAGAUGUGCUAAUACCGCAUAAUGCAGUUGGGCCGGCAUGGCUCUGACUGCCAAAGAUUUAUCGCUCUGAGAUGGACUCGCGUCUGAUUAGCUGGUUGGCGGGGUAACGGCCCACCAAGGCGACGAUCAGUAGCCGGACUGAGAGGUUGACCGGCCACAUUGGGACUGAGACACGGCCCAGACUCCUACGGAAGGCAGCAG
rnacentral:rRNA from 1 species